rnacentral:rRNA from 1 species
CCUACGGGAGGCAGCAGUGAGGAAUAUUGGUCAAUGGCCGGAAGGCUGACCCAGCCAAGCCGCGUGAAUGACGAAGGUGCCAAGCAUUGUAAACUUCUUUUGUCAAGGGACAAAAUCAGGCUCGAGAACCUGACCGCGGGUACUUGAAGAAAAAGCAUCGGCUAACUCCGUGCCAGCAGCCGCGGUAAUACGGAGGAGGCGAGCGUUAUCCGGAUUUAUUGGGGUUAAGGGGUGCGUAGGCGGGCUUUUAAGUCAGCGGUAAAAGCCCGGGGCUCAACCCCGGCGAGCCGUUGAAACUGGCUGUCUUGAGAUGUCGAGAGGCAGGCGGAAUGCGCAGUGUAGCGGUGAAAUGCUUAGAUAUUGCGCAGAACUCCGAUUGCGAAGGCAGAAUACUGGCGGCGAUCUGACGCUGAGGCACGAAAGCGUGGGUAUCGAACAGGAUUAGAUACCCGAGUAGUC